CCUACGGGGGGCAGCAGUGGGGAAUAUUGCGCAAUGGGCGAAAGCCUGACGCAGCGACGCCGCGUGAGGGAUGAAGGUCUUCGGAUCGUACACCUCUGUCAGCAGGGAAGAACGGUCACUGUGCUAAUCAGCAGUGAAUUGACGGUACCUGCAAAGGAAGCACCGGCUAACUCCGUGCCAGCAGCCUCGGUAAUACGGAGGGUGCGAGCGUUAAUCGGAAUUACUGGGCGUAAAGCGCUCGUAGGCGGUCUGUCAAGUCAAGGGUGAAAUCCCCGCGCGCAACGUGGGAACUGCCUUUGAAACUGGCAAACUGGAGUGUGUGAGAGGAUAGUGGAAUUUCAGGUGUAGGAGUGAAAUCCGUAGAUAUCUGGAGGAACAUCAGUGGCGAAGGCGACUAUCUGGCACAUAACUGACGCUGAGGAGUGAAAGCGUGGGUAGCAAACAGGAUUAGAUACCCCUGUAGUC
rnacentral:rRNA from 1 species